rnacentral:rRNA from 1 species
AUACGGAGGAUCCGAGCGUUAUCCGGAUUUAUUGGGUUUAAAGGGUGCGCAGGCGGGAGAUUAAGUCGGCGGUGAAAUUUUGCAGCUCAACUGUAAAAGUGCCUUCGAAACUGGUUUCCUUGAGUGUAGAUGAAGUAGGCGGAAUUUGUGGUGUAGCGGUGAAAUGCAUAGAUAUCACGAGGAACUCCGAUUGCGCAGGCAGCUUACUAAACUACUACUGACGCUCAGGCACGAAGGCGUGGGGAUCAAACAGGAUUAGAUACCCUGGUAGUCCACGCAGUAAACGAUGAUUACUAGCUGUUUGCGAUACAAUGUAAGCGGCUGAGCGAAAGCGUUAAGUAAUCCACCUGGGGAGUACGUUCGCAAGAUUGAAACUCAAAUGAAUUGACGGGG